CAUGGAUGCCCACGUACAGCAGUUCAUACGCAUGAUAUUAGGAUACUUAUAACCAAGAAUAGAAUGGAAACAAUAACAUAUGCACACAAUCCUAAAUUUCAGAAUGUAGAGGCCUUCAGCAACAUAGGUGGCUAUGUUGGAAUUUGGCUUGGAAUCUCAUUGGUUGCUGUAUUUGAUUUCUUAGAGACAAUCAGCCUCAUCGUAAGCUAUCCUUUCAAGUGCUAUAGGAAAUCAAAUGUACGAAAUGAAAAAAUACGAAAGAUAAAAAAGCUUUCAAGAGAUUUGUAAAUACUUUUUCUUUCAGCAACAAUUUCUGUACAUCCAGCAUUGUUGGAAGUAUUGUAAAUUUCUACAUAAAAAUGAUGUAUGUAUACUUUAAAGUUGUUGUCUGUUAUAAAUAAAAUUGCUAUAAUAAAAUAAUAAUAAUAAAUCUGCUGUAAUAAAAUAAUAAUA